rnacentral:rRNA from 1 species
ACGUGAUCUGAGUUCAGACCGGAGUAAUCCAGGUCAGUUUCUAUCUAUAAAAAGUCUUUCCUAGUACGAAAGGACCGAAAAGACAAGGCCUAUAUUUUAACAAGCCUUAUUUACUAAUCUAUGAACAAAACUUAAUAGUUUAUAAAACUACCAUAAAACUCAAGAUAAGAAA